GACGAACGCUGGCGGCGUGCUUAACACAUGCAAGUCGAACGGAAAGGCCCUGCUUUUGUGGGGUGCUCGAGUGGCGAACGGGUGAGUAACACGUGAGUAACCUGCCCUUGACUUUGGGAUAACUUCAGGAAACUGGGGCUAAUACCGGAUAGGAGCUCCUGCUGCAUGGUGGGGGUUGGAAAGUUUCGGCGGUUGGGGAUGGACUCGCGGCUUAUCAGCUUGUUGGUGGGGUAGUGGCUUACCAAGGCUUUGACGGGUAGCCGGCCUGAGAGGGUGACGGGGCACAUUGGGACUGAGAUACGGCCCAGACUGCUACGGGAGGCAGCAGUGGGGAAUAUUGCACAAUGGGCGGAAGCCUGAUGCAGCAACGCCGCGUGCGGGAUGACGGCCUUCGGGUUGUAAACCGCUUUCGCCUGUGACGAAGCGUGAGUGACGGUAAUGGGUAAAGAAGCACCGGCUAACUACGUG
rnacentral:rRNA from 1 species